CAAUCCCCGGGGUUCCUCUCUCUAAAAUGUUUUGUCUUCAGCACCUUGUUUACAUCAUCUGUUUUGCUCUGGACCGACACAAGUCCACAGCGGCCUGCAGUGUGUAUAUCCGAGCCUGCCUCCAGCACUUCCACCUGCAGGUUGUCAGCCGUGUGUCUGCCUGGUAUACUCUCAGAUGGCCGAUUUAACUCGCCGGUUUCAUGUGUCAAACGCAACUUGCUGGUUCAAAGGUCAUAUUGUGCAGCCCUACUGGUAAGGUGGUGUAACUACUGGAACAACAAUUACUCAUUAGUAAU